rnacentral:lncRNA from 1 species
CUAUAUAUAUAUAUAUACAUAUACAGUGAGCGUAGUAUAUAUUUGUAUCACUGGAAGAAAAGCCCAUCUUCCUUACCUUUUUCUGUUCCCCUUCUGCCUGUAGACACCAGUUGUGGGGAAGUGGGAUUAGGAGGAAUUUGGAUGACGGUAAAAGGAAAAACAAGACAAAUUAACAAUUCAAAGGAAUGUGGUGGGGCGCCUGGGUGGCGCAGUCGGUUAAGCGUCUGACCUCAGCCAGGUCACCAUCUCGCGGCCCGGCUUUCCACAUCACUAGGCCCACAUGCAACAAGUAAGCAGGCAUAGUCUUUCUGGAAGAGGAGCACGGGCACCUGCUUGCUAAUUUCCCUCACUACCAAGAAACCUGAAUCAUCACCAGAGACCCCAAACAUAGGUAAGACCUAGCCCCUGGGUCUAGCCCCUUAGCUUAGGACAGACACAAAAGAGAAUGGUUUCUAAUUGAUUCUUGGUCCCUGAAGACACGUUAGAGGUGUUCUAUGUCCUGCAUUCCAUGCCUCCCAUCCAAAAACAGUAUUACUUAGAAAGGAUGUUUGGAGCAAAUUAAGGAGUCUGUGUUCAAGCUGUCCUAUCUCAGAAUACAAACAUUACACAAUUAAUGCAAGUUUAUACUCACUGGGGACAAAUUAGUAAAUAGAGAUUAGCAAGAAGAAAGCAGGAAAAAUCACCCGCAUUUCAAACACCCAGAGACAAACACUUUGAGCCUCUGGGUGUAUAUCUGUUCAGAUUAUAUAACUAACUAAAUAAAUAACAGACAAGUAAGUAGAUAAAUGUAAAA